UGCGUCUUCUCGUGGGCCUUGCAGGCGGCCGGGUCCGAAAAGGCCUUGCUGCACUCCCGGCACGAGAAGGGCUUCUCGCCGGUGUGGAUGCGGAUGUGGCGCUUGAAGUUCCCGGUGCCAGAGCGCAGGCUCCGGGUCUCUGCACCGAGCUCCUGACCAGAAUCGGUGCCCACCGACUCCUCCGUCUCCUCGGGCUCGCCGUUCUCCAGCUGCAGCCCCUCCUCCUUGACCUCGAAACACGCCCAAGAUGUUCUACCAAGGAACGGAUCUCGAGAUUCCAGAAGACAAAAGCUGAACAGCCAUGCCACUCGUGGGGUCUGGCUUGAGUUCCACAGGCAUCGGCUCCCGGGGGGCAUCAGCCUUUUCCGUCUGCUCUGCACCUGGAGUGGGAUGGGAUGUACUGGAGGCUGAGCUGGACUGCUUUGCUGGACCAGGCCCCUUCGUGCAGGUUCGCCCUGGCCCCAAAGGUAUACCUGCCGCGUUACUGAUGUCCAGGUGCACCACGUCCUUCUGGUCCACAAAGAGCAUCUUGAAGUACUCACUGCAGGCUGCCAGCACUGCUUUGUGAGCCUUAAAGUCAACGCCGUCUACCACAAAGGUGCAGUCACAGAGAAGCCCCAACUGCCGCUGCUGGUUCAGCUGCUCCAAGACGUGAUGGCUGUGCUGGGGAAAAUCCAUGGCUGGGGAGAAUCAGAGGGCCUUCGUGUGAGCACAGAGAAAGCACGUGAGCCAGGCUUGAGUCAACCCCAACUCCCGGGUGUGAAGAGGAGAGAGGGAAGAUUAAAACAAGUGAGAGGCAUUUGUGCCACAAAAGGGUAGAUAACUCCAGAUACCCCCUGUAAGCCAAGAUCAGGAGCUCCUCAAUUCCUGGGUUUAUUGGCCAGGAAAAGCUCCCCAAACCAGAAAGCAUCAAGGUACCAACACAAAACAGCUACAUUUAUAUUUAUUUAGCCAGGUAACGACAUUAAAAGUCCAAAAAGCAAACAUAUAAAA